AUUGAACGCUGGCGGCAGGCCUAACACAUGCAAGUCGAGCGGAUGAGAGGAGCUUGCUCUUCGAUUCAGCGGCGGACGGGUGAGUAAUGCCUAGGAAUCUGCCUAGUAGUGGGGGACAACGUUUCGAAAGGAACGCUAAUACCGCAUACGUCCUACGGGAGAAAGUGGGGGAUCUUCGGACCUCACGCUAUUAGAUGAGCCUAGGUCGGAUUAGCUAGUUGGUAGGGUAACGGCCUACCAAGGCGACGAUCCGUAACUGGUCUGAGAGGAUGAUCAGUCACACUGGAACGGAGACGCGGUCCAGACUCCUACGGGAGGCAGCAGUGGGGAAUAUUGGACAGUGGGCGAAAGCCUGAUCCAGCCAUGCCGCGUGUGUGAAGAAGGCCCUCGGGUCGUAAAGCACUUUAAGUUGGGAGGAAGGGCUUACAGCGAAUACCUGUGAGUUUUGACGUUACCGACAGAAUAAGCACCGGCUAACUUCGUGCCAGCCGCCGCAGUAA
rnacentral:rRNA from 1 species